CCUGCCAGUAGUCAUAUGCUUGUCUUAAAGAUUAAGCCAUGCAUGUCUAAGUAUAAGUAAUUAUACUGCGAAACUGCGAAUGGCUCAUUAAAUCAGUUAUAGUUUAUUUGAUAGUACCUUACUACUUGGAUAACCGUAGUAAUUCUAGAGCUAAUACAUGCAAAAAGUCCCAACUUUACAGAAGGGAUGUAUUUAUUAGAUACAAAACCAAUGCUAGGGGGCAACCUCUAGAAACAUUGAUGAAUCAUGAUAACUUCGCGAAUCGUAUAGGUCUUGCACGACGAUGAAUCAUUCAAAUUUCUGCCCUAUCAACUUUGGAUUGUAGUGUAGUGGACUACAAUGGUUGUAACGGGUGACGGGGGAAUUAGGGGUUCGGUUCCGGAGAGGGAGGCCUGAGAGAUGGC
rnacentral:rRNA from 1 species